rnacentral:lncRNA from 1 species
AAUUCAUAUUACUUUAGAGUUAUAGUAAAUCAUCAAGUACUUACCGUCGUCGAAGCUGUUUUUGUGGAAGAAGUUGGCUGUGUCAUGGUCCAGGGAAGCACAUGAAUAAUGACCGUAGAAGUGGCUGACAGCUGACCAGCUUCACUCCCACCUAAUUCAUCAGUGACUUCAAUAAGUAACUGGAAAGUCAUAGGGGCCUGAAUUCCUUGAAAUAUAUCAUACUGGAAAUCCUGCCUGGUGGCCAGAGAAGGGGGAUCAACACCCAGUCUCUGAAGUGUGAAUUGAUUAUUUGUAUUUCCUGAGGAUGAUGAGUGGCAGCCCCUAACGAACACAGGAGUUCUGGAGUUGUCUCCACCGUAUGUGGCCCCUCGAGGAAGCCCCUGCCAGGUGUUCAGAAUGGAACGGUAAGUGACACCAAAGAGUCCAGUAGCACUCAGCCUCUCUCCCUUCCCUUGGAAAUUCUUCCUGU